GAUGAACGCUAGCUACAGGCUUAACACAUGCAAGUCGAGGGGAAACGACAUCGGAAGCUUGCUUUUGAUGGGCGUCGACCGGCGCACGGGUGAGUAACGCGUAUCCAACCUGCCCACCACUUGGGAAUAACCUUGCGAAAGUAAGACUAAUACCCAAUGACGUCUCUAGAGGACAUCUGAAGUGGAAUAAAGAUUCAUCGGUGACGGAUGGGGAUGCGUCUGAUUAGCUUGUUGGCGGGGUAACGGCCCACCAAGGCGACGAUCAGUAGGGGUUCUGAGAGGAAGGUCCCCCACAUUGGAACUGAGACACGGUCCAAACUCCUACGGGAGGCAGCAGUGAGGAAUAUUGGUCAAUGGGCGGAAGCCUGAACCAGCCAAGUAGCGUGCAGGAAGACGGCCCUAUGGGUUGUAAACUGCUUUCAGUCGGGAAUAAUUCGUCGGUCGUGACCGGCGUUGCAGGUACCGUCAUAAGAAGGACCGGCUAAUUCCGUG
rnacentral:rRNA from 1 species